AUUGAACGCUGGCGGCAUGCCUUACACAUGCAAGUCGAACGGUAACGGGCCUUCGGGUGCCGACGAGUUGCGAACGGGUGAGUAAUACAUCGGAACGUGCCCGAUCGUGGGGGAUAACGAGGCGAAAGCUUUGCUAAUACCGCAUACGAUCUACGGAUGAAAGCAGGGGACCGCAAGGCCUUGCGCGGACGGAGCGGCCGAUGGCAGAUUAGGUAGUUGGUGGGAUAAAAGCUUACCAAGCCGACGAUCUGUAGCUGGUCUGAGAGGAUGAUCAGCCACACUGGGACUGAGACACGGCCCAGACUCCUACGGGAGGCAGCAGUGGGGAAUUUUGGACAAUGGGCGCAAGCCUGAUCCAGCCAUGCCGCGUGCAGGAUGAAGGCCUUCGGGUUGUAAACUGCUUUUGUACGGAACGAAAAGCCUUCUUUUAAUACAGGAGGGUCAUGACGGUACCGUAAGAAUAAGCACCGGCUAACUACGUG
rnacentral:rRNA from 1 species